AAUGUAUUUCUAAUACACGACAAGGUACUAUGAAAACUAAACGUCAGGGAAACAGAAAUAUAGUCCCACAAAGUCUUACUAGUCAUACAAGGUUUGGAUCUAGAUUUUAACCGAGUUGUGGAGGAUGCUGAAAUAAUAAUCGAUACACGUGCAAAAACAUCACGUGAUGAUGUCAUUGCUUCUUACAAUUUCUAUGGUACAGCAAUAGAAGAGGAUGAUUUUAUUCAUGUAUAGUCCACUGAAAACCAAGUGAACAUUGAUGAACACCUUGGUGAUGAAAAUAUUUCUCCUUUCCAAGAGGAAAGAUUAAGAAUGAAAGGUCGGGCAAUGCAUUAUG